rnacentral:lncRNA from 1 species
CUCACAACCACAACUAACGUCGCUCCCGUUGCCAAACAAACUUCCAUUUUCCAAUUUCAAAACCACCAACAAACCAACAAUUUCAACUACAAAACCACCACUGCCAUUGAUAGAUCCACUGUCACCUCCACCAAUAAAAACCACUACUACUAACAGAUCCAACAAGCACUAUAUUUAUCGGGAAGCACUUUGGAUCCGGGGCUACCAAAAUGCUAAAACAUUGUCAGACCACUACCAUCAAAUCCACCACCAAUUUGACAAAACCCACCAUCAUCACCACCAACAAAAACCAUCUCCAUCACCACCAACAAAAACCGUCUCCAAAUCAUGACUCAGCACAUAAACCUACCAUCACCACACCUUCCACCGUUGCUACUUCAAUAGCCAUCACGAACCAUCGGCCACCACAAAUCGAAGAAAAUUUUAGAUCGCCACUAUGUGUAGCGAUCCGUGACCAAUUUAGUUAGAAAGUACAAAUCCUGAUACAAAUCAUCAUAGAGGAGUUGUGUAGCUCUAUUCCUCUGUACGCAAAAGCUCCGAUUCCGUGCCUCAACCUCAUGAGCAAAGGUACAACCUUGAGAAGCUGGAACGUACAAUAUCUUUGUACAGAUUGCUACAAUGAGCAACUGAUGUGCCUCAGUGUAGAGGCUUCGAUGUUAUUGGCGCUAUGAGACUCAGCAUCAUUGCGUACCGUGUUACUUCGUACGGUGUCGAUUGUUAUGUUACUAGAGGUGCCAUGUUGCUGGGGUAGUGUGUUACAGGAGAAGAAAUAUGAUAUUGAAGCGAGAAGGAAAAUGAUAGAGUAAAGAAAGUGAAAAAUGAUUUAGG